UUGAAAUGUGGCCACCUUUGUAUGGCUAAUGGCUUUGUAGGCUUUCAGUAUUUGGCGUCUGUCGCCGGGUUUGUUCCGCCUCAACCAGGAUCUUCUCGGCACUGCUCUGAUGUUGUGAAAACUCACGCACGCCGGCAGCCGCCUCCAUGCUCCAGUUGCCGCAGCCUGCAGUGUCAGUUGCUCCUAUCUGGACGAGCUUUGUUGGGGUCAUGUGGUUGCUGCUGCUACCGCUUUGUCGGGGUCAAGGGUCAAUAAAACUCAGGUCAAUUGAUGUUGGGCACCAAUCUUGCUCCUAUUUGGGUGGGCUACAGCUUUGUCAGGCUGCCAUCAUAUUCUGAUCUUCCAGUGUUCCUUCUGCGGUGUGGAGGAGGUUUGCUACUAAAUUCACAAAAAAGUAGUGUUCUUUUGCAUCACCAUCCUAUGGAGCCAUGAGAUCUGAACCAAUGAAUACAGAGAACAUUAACUAUGUUUGUGGAUCACUACAUGUUCUAUUGGAACAAGAGUAAAAGGUCAUAGUGACAACGCCACUUGGACUGCUUCUGAACUUCCAUGAUGACACUAGGCUGUUCCAAGGACAACCUGAGCUCCUCCUUGUGGUGAUGUUAGCGGGCGAGCUUCUUCUACCUCCACUCUAUGGAUGUCAGCAGAGAAAAGGAGAGGAAGGGGAUGGAUGAGCAAGGACCAGAAGGACCAGAAGAAGAAGGGCAAGGGAGAUGGGGCGAUGUGCAUGUCCAUGGAGGGGGAAUUCUAAUUUCUUUACAGCGGUGUUUGAACAAAAUGGCAUAUUCCGUGGGCUAGAUGAUAGAAGGACAUUUUGUUGAAGCACUCAAGAGGAGUAAUACUACUGUGAUGCCAACACAUGGUGAAUAAACUUUAUAUUUUAUAAUGCUCUAAAUCCUGCACUGUGUUGGUUUGUUUCUAAUCUAAACAUGUCUUUUGGCUUGCUCUAGAUUUAGCCUGAACCUUAAUUCUUUGUUUGGUCUGAAUCUUGCCUGAACCACUUCAUGCAGAUCCUGA